rnacentral:misc_RNA from 1 species
GUAUUAACAUUGUUUGCGCUCCGUAGAGCUCAAGAGACAUGCUUCGUUACAGGCAUCGUUGUAAAAAAUGUAGUGAACGCCUCGGAGAGAGGCGUCCGCCGGGUGCACAGGUGUGUGAGAUGUUGCUCCCCCACACGUACAUUUCUGACCGUGGGGGCGCUUCAAAAAGAGUUCAUUCGUUAAUGAUCCUUCCGCAGGUUCACCUACGGAAA